rnacentral:rRNA from 1 species
UACGAAGGGGGCUAGCGUUGUUCGGAAUUACUGGGCGUAAAGCGCACGUAGGCGGACAUUUAAGUCAGGGGUGAAAUCCCAGAGCUCAACUCUGGAACUGCCUUUGAUACUGGGGUGUCUUGAGUAUGGAAGAGGUGAGUGGAAUUCCGAGUGUAGAGGUGAAAUUCGUAGAUAUUCGGAGGAACACCAGUGGCGAAAGGCGGCUCACUGGUCCAUUACUGACGCUGAGGUGCGAAAGCGUGGGGAGCAAACAGG